UGGUUCACCAUACUGAUCAAGACGGAUCACAAAGUAAAGGAACAAUGCUGACUUGGCGAGAUGAAUUUUCUUCACCGUUUAC